UGCUAGACCAGUUGAGUUCCUGCGCCCUUCUCUGUGCCUGUUGCAUACUGAUUGCUGGUUUUUGCCUUUGUUUUGCUUUGGCAGAUUCCUGCCUGCUAUGUGACCAUCUCCUCCUUCAGUUGUGAUUCCAAUGAUGCAUCGCAUUGUCCCCACAGAAACAAAAUUCUUUUUUUGCCACUCGUCAGGGUCGGUAAUGAAGUGGCCAUUUCGCAAACUCAAGAAGAUUCCCUCUUCAGCCUCCCCUCAUCAAGUUUAGAAAUCUGAGCCUACAGUUUCAGCAAUCAUCUGUCCCUAGGCAGAUCUCUGGUUUCAGUUUGCACUGAUCACAGAAUGUUAAUCUUCCCACCCAUUUACAUUUUCUCCAGAAUUAAUUUACAAAAUGUAUACACCCACUUAUGGGCAUUUCUCUGUGUGAAACCACUCACACUGUUGCAUCCAACAGAUUCCCUCACUUGCUCUCACCUCCAAACCUCCCACACAACUGACCCUGCAUGUCUUGUGUGUUGCCUACUCACUCACCCAGGGCUACUCACCAGAAACAUAAAGAGCAAUGGCAACUGCUUUUAUAUCAAUCAAUCCCCGCCUUUGUCUCAUUAUUGGAGAAAAUAACCCCAAGAAGGCAGAAAGAAGCAAAAGUCGUUAGGAAGCGGUGGCUUCUCAACCCCAGUGAGGAGAGUAAUCUGGUACUCUGGCACUGGACAGUGCAGACUGUGCCUGCUCCUGAGGUGAUGCCACAGCUCCUUGCAACCAAGCACAAUGGAAUCUGCACGUUCUCCACAGUCAAGAGGGUCACCUCACAAGAUAAUCUCCACCUUCAGUUUUGCAGGAAAAGCC